rnacentral:lncRNA from 1 species
UUCCCAUUGGUGUUUUGUCAGCUGAGUACUUACAGUCAUCUGUAGGAAAUAUGUGUCCAUCCUUGGGGAUGAGACAGGUGGGGGGCAGGGGAGGAGGGGUGGGAGAGGGAAAGAGAACUGGGAUUGACAUGUAAAACAAGCUUGUUUCUAAUUUAAAUUUUAAAAAAAUCUUUAAAAAAAAUCUGUCAGUCCAGGUAUCCCUUCCUUUCUGAAGCAUACUACACUGACACUGUGACCUGGUCAUAAGGUCGCUGGCCCACCAUGGGGAAAAGUAGCAAUUUUAUUGAUCCCCACAGAACUCAUAGGACGUUUCCUUUUCUAGAUUAUUUCUCUAGGGGUACUCACCCAAGAAAUAAUAACAAGCACUCCUCUCUUCUGUGUAAUUAAUGACCCCUAAACUCCACAAGUUGGGAUGCUGCUCUGUUGUUCUGGCUGGCUUCAAACUCCUGGACUUAAGCAAUUCUCCUGCCUCAGAUUCCUAUGUAGCUGAGUUGUGCACUACUGUGCCUGGUAGGAGUGGAUCGUGUUACUUCACAGUUUCUGUGUGUGACUGGCUCGGUAACUCGGGUAGGCAGCUCUGGUUCCAUCUCUCUGCAGCUAUCUGUGACCUGAGGCUGAGGAUUUACCUUCAAGAUAGCACAUAUGACUGGCGAGGUGGGGCUGGCUCUUAGUAUGAAGCCUAAGUUCCUAAAGUAGUAUUUUAAUUACUUAGUGUAAAGUAAGUUUUAAAAUUUUAAUUAAAUGAGUAUGAUUCUGGGCCAAGUACAGGGCAAGGGCAACAGAGGAGAUGGACAAGAGCACAGGAGGGAAGGGGAAGGAGGCUUAAGGGGAGUGGGCUCUUGACUCCAAGAAGCAAGCAGCUCAGUGGGGAUUUAUAGGUACCCACAGAAGACACUCAAGAUCAAGGAAUGGAAUAGAACUAGUUUCAUGCCCAGAGUAUUCCACAGUGGGGACAGAACUCUAACCGCAGGAGAAUCUCAAUGUUUUCAGUUGAAGCUAGACCAAACAGGACUGCCACCAUCUUGCCUAGAUCCCUAAAAUGGACUGACAGCACCAGGACUAUGGACAGUGGUGGAUUCUGGGAAUAUAGCAACAGGAUCAGAUGCUCAAGGUUCUCCUCUCCUCUCCCCACCUCUCCUCUCCUCUCCUUUCCUCUCCUCUUCUCUCCCUACCUUCCCUCUAUAUUUACAAUACUGGGGACUGAACCUAGGGCCUCAUAUACAUUUAAGCACUUUACCACUGAGCUACAUGCCCAUCCCAGUGAUUUUGUUUUUUCCCUGAGCAGGGUCACUAUAUCUAAAGCCCAAGACAGAGUAGACAUUUGAAGGUGGUUCCCGCCCUCCCAAGGGAGAGCCCAACCUGAAAGUAUGGAGCACCGUUCCCUGGACUGCAUAAAGGAAAAGGCUGGUUCAUCGUGGGCAUUCAUCAGUUCUCUUCUAAUGUGUGGCUCACAUUCCAGGUCAGAUUCUGCCAUAGCAGGGAAGUCAGUGGUGGUGGGGGGGGCGGUGGACCCUGAGGGAGCUCAUCAAAGGUGUGCAAAGGUGCACACUAGUGCUCACUUUCUCUACUUACACAGGACCCACCCACAAUUAAUUCAGAGCUUCCCGAACCAACUAACCUAAUCAAGAGACUCCCUCACACUGCUACCCGAAGACCCAGCUCCCAGGAGAUUCUUGAUGCUGUCCAGUUGACACCAAUGUCUCACCUAGAGACUCUUCCCUCUCUAGGAUGUAUGGUGACCAACCAGGCACCAACCAGGCAACUUCAGGGUUACCUUCAGGAGAAGCAGCCAGAAGAGAGACCAUGAUAAAACCUUUCCCCAGUAUUAUACACGUGUGACAAGCACGGCUCUCCUGAGCUGUCUCUAGUCCCUUAUUUUAACAACUCCACCUCAUGUAAGAACAUUUCUCUGUAUGUAUAGGAAAUAGCUUCAAAUGAUGUCACUGCCUGCAGAGAGGUGAUGGGUGACCUUUGACCCCCUUAUUUCUAUUUUUUGCCCAAAUUCCUUUUUAUAGAGAGUGCUCUACUCUUAUAUUCGGAAAGAUUUUUCUUUCCUUUCUAUUAUUUUUAAAAAGCUGUCAUAUUAUUGCAUAAUUCUUUUUUGUCUUUUUCUUCAAGAACUGGCAAAGAGUAAAGAAGAUUGUGACACCGACUCCAUCCUCAGGCCUCAAGCUCUGCCUUCCUGGAUUCCUCAGGUGCUUCCUGAUUCUGCAGUUCCCCAGCCCACUGCAGGGCCACCAGGACCUAGAGUCCAAGGGUCAGGAAAGAGCUUGAAGCUUGUUUUGGCAACACUGUUGUUAUCCAUAGCUGCAAAAGAGUCUGAGUCACCGGCUAUAGUUUACAGGAACCAGUUUAGGACAUGAACACAGAAGCAAAGAACUUAGGGACCCCCAAUGUGUAUUUAUCACCAAAGGUGAUCUGUGCUGUGCCAUCACCUGGAGUAGAAGGCUGCACAUGAAGGUGCCCUUCUCUGCUUGAGAUUAUAAGGUGUGACCCAGAGCUCUGCUUUUCUGGAGUGUCAUGGCCUACGUGCAGAUAAAUACACAGGUAUCUGGAGCCUAAGGAAAGUAACUGUCACCAGUGUGCAGCUGUAACUGGUUAGGGAGGAAAAGAGGUUGUGUGGGGGAGGGCGGGGGGGGGGAUAUAGGGGUAUGUCUGACAGUUCUCAUCUCAGUGAGUGUUUGGGAGAACAAAGCAGGUCAUUCAAACUCUGCCUUCCAUUGUUCAAGGUCAAUCUCUACAUUCAGCCUCCUUAUCCCAGGGCUGCCCAGACCCCAGGACUGACUGACUUGAGCACUAUGAGGAUGAAGGGCCUACUUAGAUGCUUGGUACCCAAGGAGGGAGUCACACACACCCUUCAUCCUUGAGUCAUCCGACUGAUGAGUGGUCUGACAGGUCCUAGCCUCAAAUACAGUUGAGGAAACUGAUGCUUAGUUUCUAGGCCUGUCCCCGGUCUGUGGGCACGAAAACAGUGGAGCAAGGAGGAUUGCACCCAGAGCGCUCGGAUGCUGCCUAGAACUGGGUGAGGUGACAAGCAGGGAAUGAGGGCCCCCUACCUCUAGCACUCUCUGGCAGUCCCAAGACCCCAAUUCUAGCCCUGUGGCUCCUCAGCCCAGGAUUGCAGAACCAGGGGAUUGGGAUAAAUCUUUAUAUUGUCUACUACCUAAGAAGGCCCUAAUACAAUAAGCUCAUUUUUAAAACUGAAACUGAAUGUCAUAGAACUCAUGCCUGUAAUUAAUACUAGCCUUGGACAACAUAACAUGACUGACCUCAAAAAAAAAAAUAAAUCAACAAAAUUUAAUUUUGUUGUUGCUAUUAUUUUGUUUUUCCAAAGUAGGGUUUCUCUAUGUAGUCCUGACUGUUCUGGAACUCUGUAGACCAGGAUGACCUCAAACUCACUGAUUCACUUGCCUCUCCCUCCCAAGGGCUGGGAUUAAAGGUGUUUACUACCACUGCGUGGCACAAAAUUAAAUUUAAAACUUUUAAAUAAAAUAACUUCUGCUCUUCAGAAUGUGUGUCACUAGGCACCGCCUACCACCCUCUUGUUCUUGUUAUCUGUGAGUACUGCCUUGUCUCUUGAGAAAUGAGGGAGUAUGGGGGGGGGGUGUGCAGGGACGGGGACCCCUGACCCGGACCAAGUGCUGGGACUACAGGUGUCUGCCACCACACUCAGACAGUGUCCCACAAUCUAAAAGCAUGCAAGGCCCCCCUCAGAGUGGCUGCUUUCUCUAUUCUGCUAAGUUCUGCCUCCAGACAGAUGUGUGUCCUAGUCAGUUCCUUCUUUUGGAGCAUUUGUCCACAGGUCUUCAGGUCCUAAGAACACCUAUGGAGGAGGCAUCUCGUGAAGCAGCUCUGUACCUCAGUGUGCAUUAGUCCUUUCCCCUUAGCCUUUCCACCUUCCCUGCUCUGUCCCCUUCUCCAGGGUUUUACUGUGUAGCCCAGGCUGUACUCAAACUCUCAAGCCUCCUACUUCAAACUUCAAGCUCUGGCAUUAUGGGCAUGUGUCACUAUAUACAGCCUGCUUUAAUUUCUUUAUAGUCCUCACCCACAUACGAAACAGUUUGACUUUGUGUCCACACUGCUCUUUCAAUUAAUGGAGACUACUGUGGUAGGGGAGAUGGCUCACUUGGGAAAGUGCCUGUCAUGCAAGAGUGAGGACCAGAAUUUGGAUCCCCAGCACAAAUGUGAAACUGCCACAGCACAUCUGUAACCCCAGUGGGUGGCAGACUCUGGGUGUGAUGACAGGUAACAUAAUACCUGACAAAAGUAGCAUAUUAAUGUCCAGUUUCAUCAUGGUAGGAGAGCUAGGGCAACCAGAACUUGAAGGAGCUGGUCACAUUUCGUCCAUCCACAGUCAGCAAAAGGAGAGGAAUGGAUAUUCAGUAUUAGCUAGCUUCCUUCAUUAUAUGCAGCCCAGGACCCAAACCCAGGGAACUACAAAAUCCUCCAUGUCAAUGAACUCAAUCAAGAUAAUCUCUCACAGGUUUGUUCAGAGGCUAACCUAAUAUAAAUCCCUCCCAAGUGCCUGGAGCUAGGCCUCCUAGGUGAUUCCAAAUCCUGUCAAGUUGACAAUCCACACUGAUCAUCUCAGGGACCUUCUCAAGUGGAGAGUGAUCAAGAAAGACACCAAUAUUGACACCUGGCCUCCUCAGACAUGUACACCGCACGCCCACACAUUUAAAUAUAUAUCCGAAUCCACAAACAUACUUUUUAAAAUCCUGGGCUUGGGCUGUAGCCCACCAGUGGAGUGCCUUGCUAGCAUGUGUGAGGCUCUGAGCACCAUCACUACCAUUGCAACAAAUACACUUACAAACAGCGCUUAAGGGCAAGUGUUUGCCUGGCUCAAUCCCAGGGUCUGGUGCAUUCUGGGCACAGUGGAUUUGACCGAAACACUCAUUGGUGCUCGAACUGACUGGAGAAGGAACACCAAACCCAACCGUGAAGAUGGGCUGAAUGUCUCAGGACUGGAGAGGGAAGCCAGAGAGUUCCCUGCAUCCCAGGGGCAGGCUGUGGCCAGGAGCGUGGGCGGGUUAAAUGGAAGAUAAAAUAAAUGCUAGCAUCCCUCCAGGUCUGUUCGCAGUGCUGCUGAGGAGGUCGCAUAACGGAGCAGGGAAUUCCUAGCAAGAGUUUCAGGAUGAUUGAUAGGUGGUAGGAUAUCCGUCUCGACGUCCUUAACUAAGUGCUCUCUCGCGGGAGCCCAGGAUUUCAGAAGACAAAGACAUUCAGAAGAGUCUGAAACCAGGGAUUUGUCCCCUAGGAUUUCAGAAGUAAGGAAAGCCCAUUACCCAACCUUUUAGGGACAAACACUGAGGUCCUGUUUCCGAAGGUCUCCCUAAGACCUGAGAUUUGCUGCAAGCACACACAGCAGGCACUCUUACACACGGGUUAGACUGGUAGUCCAGCGGUCCAGCCCUCAGCAGCAGCACGCAGCACACACGGCUCACACGCGGGGCUGCAUCCUUUUUAUUCACCCGGUGACUCAACACAGGCUUCUCCAGAUCCCCACCCUAAGGAUGCAUCCCCACCGCAGCUACUUGCCUUCCUAGCCCCCUCCACCCAAUUCCUAAUUCCAUUGUCAGGGUUGAACAAAAGGCCCAGGCAUGGCAUCCUGGGUUGAAGGAUUUUUAACUCUGCCAAUCCCAGGAGGCUCCGACGUACAGCAGCUUCCUGUGGGAGAAUAGUGACUGAGACAUCUCCCUCAGGCUACUGAGGUUUGGAUUUGUUUCUGUCCCGUCGAUGUCUGUCUCUGUCCCCGAGUUUUCAUCCCGGUCCGUGACCACCCUCCUCGGGGUGGGGGUUCUCUGUGUAGCCCUGGCUGUCCUGGAACUCUGUGGGCCAGGCUGGCCUCUAAAUCAGAGAUCUACCUGCCUUGGCCUCCGGAGCGCCGGGUUUAAAGGCGUGCGCCACUCUGCCGGGCUUUGUUUCUAUUUUUAAGAACUGAAACAAGUUUCCAAUCGGACACUCCCCAGGAUGUCCCCAGAGAACUCCCAGAGGCCAUCGGGUCUUGAGGUCCGGAUGACUUCCGAGGUGUGAGACUGGAGCAAUUCCCAUAGGGUCUUCCCUACAGUCCCGGGUCCAGCUCGGCUGGGACAUCCCAGCGGGGAAUUGGCGGGGGAAGACGGCGCGUUCUGGAACAAAUCUGCAUUAGUGCACAAGCCCUGUUCAGCCCACCUGGCGUUAAAGUUAACCUCACCUCAACGCGGGCUAAAUUCUCCACCAGACAGAGACGAGCCGGAAGAGAAACGUGCUGGGGAAGCCCCAGCCCUUCAGAGUUGAUGGUGAAGAACCCCAGACUCUGCUGAAGGCUUCCUAUGAAGUUCAGACCACAGAAAAUGAUGGCAUCAAGCACAGAUGAAAAGGAACAGUGUGUAACUGUGUGUGCUCAGGCACCAUUAAUAUGUGUUGAGCAUUUCACAGAGCAAGUUCACAGACACGCAUGUGUCCUGCAGAGUGAGAGCAGAGACAAAACCAGGAUCCUGAAGUCCUGUGAGAGAUCUGUGGGCAGUGGUCACUCAGACCUGGGCCAAGGAUGGGGUUCUUCUGUGAUGAUGGGAGAAAGUGUCCUGGACAAACAGGGGAGAGCAUGGAUGUGGAGCUGUGUGCUGUGUGCAAGGCUGAGCAGGGAGAGCACGGAUGUGGAGCUGUGUGUGAAGGCCGAGUCCUUCGUCUCUUCUGUUUUUACCUGUUUCAUCUGUAAUCGGGCUCUUCCUAGAGGCUUAACCUGGUCCAGGGUUCCUUAUGUCCUCCUUCCCAGCCUGUGUCUUCCUCCACAUCCUGCCACUGUUAUGUUCUGUGUUACAACAAGUUAGACUCAACAAAGCCAAGGAGCACAAGGUGAACCCUCUGAAACUGUGAACCAAAGAAAUAUUUCCUCCUUUUUACCCAGGUAUUUGGCCACAAUGACAAAAAACAAAGAACACAUAUGCACACACACACAACCAAACGAAAACUAACACAGCAAGUUAGCUAAAUCAAACAAACAAAACCUAUCCCAAAGGAUUCAGCCUCCAGACAUACUCUGCCAGCUGCUGUUCAAGACUCAGAGAUUGUCCUCACACACUCCUGGGUCACUCCAGUGGACACCUCGCUGUCCUCACACUCCUGGGUCACACCAGUGGACACCCUGCUGUCCUCACACACUCCUGGGUCACUCCAGUGGACACCCUGCUGUCCACACACUCUUGGGUCACACCAGUGGACACCCUGCUGUCCAGCACCACUGGCUGUGUAGACUACACCUCUCAUGGUGGUAAACUUGAGGACAUCCUGGCUUCUAGCCCUUGGUCCCCACUAAAGGCAUCCCUUUCCUACAUAAAGCAGCAUUUCAAUUCUUAUCCAGAAAUAAGAAUCUUAUUUCUUAUCCCUGGAUGCCAUUUAUAUCAAAAGGGUCAGGGGUGUGCAAAGUCAAAACUGUUUCGCAAUGAGAUGUAUUGGCUUUGUCUUCUCUUGUCCUCCCCUUAUGGGCAUAAAGCCAAGUGCUUUGGGAAAACUCAGUCACUGUCACAACAGAGCAAAUGCAGAAGCAAACAGGCGAAACAGGCGACCCCAUCUGUCGUUUAUUAAGCUAGACAGAAAAAAAUGGCAUAAAUGUAAAAUAGUACCAUACGUACCAUUUUUUUGUUUCAUAAACUGUAUUUUUCUAAAUAAACCCGCAUGCAUUAUUGUAAGAAGUAACUAUCUUCUGGAUUCUCAGUUUUCACUCAUAAGCUGGCAAACGUUGAGAGGUACAACCCACAUAGGCAGGCAAUCCUCUCUGAGGUC